GUGUCAGCAGCCGCGGUAAUACGUAGGUGGCAAGCGUUGUCCGGAUUUACUGGGCGUAAAGGAUGUGUAGGCGGAUAUUUAAGUGAGAUGUGAAAUCCCCGGGCUUAACUUGGGGGCUGCAUUUCAAACUGGAUGUCUGGAGUGCAGGAGAGGAAAGCAGAAUUCCUAGUGUAGCGGUGAAAUGCGUAUGGAUUAGGAGAAAAACCAGGGGCGAAGGCGGCUUUCUGGACUGUAACUGACGCUG
rnacentral:rRNA from 1 species